GAUGAACGCUAGCGGCAGGCCUAAUACAUGCAAGUCGAACGAGAUUGUUGUAGCAAUAUGACAUGAAAGUGGCGCACGGGUGCGUAACACGUAUGCAAUCUACCUUUGAUAGGGGAAUAGCUUCGAGAAAUCGGAAUUAAUGCCCCAUAACAUAUUUGAGUGGCAUCACUCGAUUAUCAAACCUCCGGGGAUCAAAGAUGAGCAUGCGCAACAUUAGCUAGUUGGUGAGGUAAUGGCUCACCAAGGCUACGAUGUUUAGGGGGUCUGAGAGGAUGAUCCCCCACACUGGUACGGAGACACGGACCAGACUCCUACGGGAGGCAGCAGUAGGGAAUAUUGGUCAAUGGAGGCAACUCUGAACCAGCCAUGCCGCGGGCAGGAUGACGGCCCUCUGGGUUGUAAACUGCUUUUAUACGGGAAGAAAAAGAGCUACGUGUAGCUUAUUGACGGUACCGUAAGAAUAAGGAUCGGCUAACUCCGUGCCAGCCGCCGCCGUAA
rnacentral:rRNA from 1 species